rnacentral:rRNA from 1 species
GUUUGAUCCUGGCUCAGGGCGAACGCUGGCGGCGUGCUUAACACAUGCAAGUCUUAGGAGAACGUUUUCUUCGGAAAACAAGUAAACUGGCGAACGGGAGAGUAACGCGUAGGCAACCUACCCUUUAGACUAGGAUAACAUCGUGAAAAUGGUGCUAAUACUGGAUGAAAUCAUAUAUCAUCAGAUACUAUGAUUAAAGGUGGCUUCGGCUACUACUAUUGGAUGGGCCUGCGUCUGAUUAGCUUGUUGGUAAGGUAAUGGCUUACCAAGGCAACGAUCAGUAGCUGGUUCGAGAGGAUGAUCAGCCUCACUGGGACUGAGAUACGGCCCAGACUCCUACGGGAGGCAGCAGUGGGGAAUUUUGCGCAAUGGGGGAAACCUUGACGCAGCAACGCCGCGUGAUUGAAGAAGCUCUGUGGAGUGUAAAAAUCUGUCAUAGGGGAAGAAUGGUUUUUAGUUUAACAUGCUAAAGAUUUGACGGUACCCUAUAAGAAGGCCCCGGCUAACUUCGUGCCAGCAGCCGCGGUAAUACGAGGGGGGCAAGCGUUGUCCGGAUUCAUUGGGCGUAAAGAGUUCGUAGGCGGUCUAAACAGUCAAAAUUGAAAUACCACGGCUUAACCGUGGGCCCGGUUUUGAUACUUUUAGACUUGAGUUAGGUAGAGGUAAGCGGAAUUCCUGGUGUAGCGGUGAAAUGCGUAGAUAUCAGGGGAACACCAAAGGCGNAGGGCAGCUUACUGGGCUUAACUGACGCUGAGGAACGAAAGCAUGGGUAGCGAACAGGAUUAGAGACCCUGGUAGUCCAUGCCGUAAACGAUGAGCACUUGGUGGUGGGGGAUUCAAUCCCUUCACUGUCGGAGUUAACGCGUUAAGUGCUCCGCCUGGGGACUACGACCGCAAGGUUGAAACUCAAAGGAAUUGACGGGGACCCGCACAAGCGGUGGAUCAUGUGGUUUAAUUCGAUGCAACGCGAAGAACCUUACCUGGACUUGACAUAUUAAUGAAAUUUCUGUGAAAGCAGAAGCCUCUGCGAGCUUGCUCAAAGACAUUAUUACAGGUGAUGCAUGGCUGUCGUCAGCUCGUGUCGUGAGAUGUUCGGUUAAGUCCGAUAACGAGCGCAACCCCUAUUCUUAGUUGCCAGCACAUAAUGGUGGGGACUCUAAGAAAACUGCCUGGGAUAACCAGAAGGAAGGUGGGGUCGACGUCAAGUCAGUAUGUCCCUUACGUUCAGGGCUACACACGUGAUACAAUGGAGAGUACAGAGGGUUGCGAUACCGCGAGGUGGAGCUAAUCCCAAAAAACUUUCCUAAGUUCGGAUUGCAGUCUGCAACUCGACUGCAUGAAGUAGGAAUCGCUAGUAAUCGCGCAUCAGCAUGGCGCGGUGAAUACGUUCCCGGGUCUUGUACUCACUGCCCGUC